AGCGAACACUGGCGGCAGGCCUAACACAUGCAAGUCGAACGAAGUCUUCGGACUUAGUGGCGGACGGGUGAGUAACACGUGGGAACGUGCCUUUAGGUUCGGAAUAACUCAGGGAAACUUGUGCUAAUACCGAAUGCGCCCUUCGGGGGAAAGAUUUAUCGCCUUUAGAGCGGCCCGCGUCUGAUUAGCUGGUUGGUGAGGUAAAGGCUCACCAAGGCUACGAUCAGUAGCUGGUCUGAGAGGAUGACCAGCCACAUUGGGACUGAGACACGGCCCAAACUCCUACGGGAGGCAGCAGUGGGGAAUCUUGCGCAAUGGGCGAAAGCCUGACGCAGCCAUGCCGCGUGGAUGAUGAAGGUCUUAGGAUUGUAAAAUUCUUUCACCGGGGACGAUAAUGACGGUACCCGGAGAAGAAGCCCCGGCUAACUUCGUGCCAGCCGCCGCGGUAAUAC
rnacentral:rRNA from 1 species